UGAGGCACAAGUCUUUUGGAACAAGGCAUCAUAGAGGGUGAGAAUCCCGUCCAUGGUCUCAUGCAUUUCAUUUUGUGAUACGUUUUCUAAGAGUCAGGUUGUUUGGGAAUGCAGCCUAAAAUGGGUGGUAAAUUUCAUCUAAAGCUAAAUAUUGGCGAGAGACCGAUAGCGAACAAGUACCGUGAGGGAAAGAUGAAAAGAACUUUGAAAAGAGAGUUAAAAAGUACGUGAAAUUGUUGAAAGGGAACCGUUUGAAGCCAGUCUUGCUUACUUGUGAUCAAUCUUAGCUUCGGCUUGGAUGCACUCUCGAGUUAUGCAGGUCAACGUCAGUUUGAGAGGUGAGAAAAAAGUUUGAGGAAUGUGGCCUUCGGGUGUUAUAGCCUCUUACUAAAUAUCAUCUCCUGGACUGAGGCUCGCAGCAAAAAUGUGGGUUGGUUUGCUCCUGAGGUGAAUCAUUAUUAAGACAGCUUGCUGACUUAGUUUUGUGGAUCUUCACGGUAGACCAGCUUCUAAUUUGCUUAGGUCGUUGACAUAAUGGCUUUAAAUGACCCGUCUUGAAACACGGACCAAGGAGUCUAACAUAUAUGCGAGUAUUUGGGUGUCAAACCCACAUGCGCAAUGAAAGUGAAAUUAGGUGCCAAACCCGCAAGGGUGGCAGCAUCGGCCGGCUCUAACGUUUCUAACUGACGAGUCUGAGCAGAAGCAUACAUGUUGGGACCCGAAAGAUGGUGAACUAUGCCUGAAUAGGGUGAAGCCAGAGGAAACUCUGGUGGAGGCUCGUAGCGAUUCUGACGUGCAAAUCGAUCGUCAAAUUUGGGUAUAGGGGCGAAAGACUAAUCGAACCAUACUAGAUCCCCCCGC
rnacentral:rRNA from 1 species